AUGACCACUAUCCGCACUCUUCUUGCCGUGGUUUCUGUUCGUCAGUGGUCUAUCUCUCAACUUGAUGUUCAGAACGCUUUUCUCAAUGGCGAGUUGCGUGAGGAGGUUUAUAUGCAGCCACCACCGGGGUACUAUGCUCCUGAUGGUAUGGUCUGUAGACUUCGCCGCUCCCUCUAUGGUCUCAAACAGGCCCCUCGCGCCUGGUUUGAGCGCUUCGCCUCUGUGGUGACUGCCGCUGGUUUCUUGCCCAGUGAUCAUGAUCCCGCGUUGUUUGUUCACACGUCUCCUCGUGGUCGGACUCUUCUCCUUCUCUAUGUUGAUGACAUGAUCAUCACUGGUGACGACUCUGAUUACAUUGCAUUCGUUAAGGCUCGCCUUCGCGACCAGUUUCUCAUGGCUGAUCUUGGUCCACUUCGCUAUUUUCUUGGGAUUGAGAUCUCCUCGACCUCUGAUGGCUUCUACAUCUCCCAAGAAAAAUAUAUUCAAGAUCUUUUUGCUCGCGCUGCUCUUGGUGAUGAGCGCACAGUUGUGACUCCUAUGGAGCUCAACGUUCAGCUUCGUGCCUCUGAUGGUGACCCUCUUCCUAAUCCCACUCGCUAUCGUCACCUUGUUGGCAGUCUUGUCUAUCUUGCUGUUACGCGUCCUGACAUCUCCUAUCCUGUCCACAUCCUGAGUCAGUUUGUUUCAGCCCCCACCUCUGUCCACUAUAGUCAUCUCCUCCGUGUUCUACGAUACCUUCGUGGCAUGAUCUCUCAGCGCCUUUUCUUUCCCCGCUCCAGCUCUCUUGAGCUCCAGGCCUACUCUGAUGCUACCUGGGCUAGUGAUCCCUCUGAUCGCCGCUCGCUGUCUGCUUAUUGUGUCUUUCUUGGUGGCUCUCUUAUUGCCUGGAAGACAAAGAAACAGACUGCAGUUUCUCGCUCGAGUACAGAGGCUGAGUUGCGAGCCAUGGCUAUGUUGACGGCUGAGGUGAUCUGGUUACGGUGGUUACUUGAGGACUUUGGUGUGUGCUACUACUUCGACUCCCUUACUGUCAGACAGUACUGGUGCUAUCAGUAUUGCACGUGA
rnacentral:rRNA from 1 species